UAGGGAAUCUUCCACAAUGGACGCAAGUCUGAUGGAGCAACGGCCGCGUGAGUGAAGAAGGCUUUCGGGUCGUAAAACUCUGUUAUUGAAGAAGAACGUGUGUGACAGUAACUGGUCAUGCAGUGACGGUAUUCAAUCAGAAAGUCACGGCUAACUACGUGCCAGCAGCCGCGGUAAUACGUAGGUGGCAAGCGUUGUCCGGAUUUAUUGGGCGUAAAGCGAGUGCAGGCGGUCUUUUAAGUCUGAUGUGAAAGCCUUCGGCUUAACCGAAGAAGGGGCAUCGGAAACUGG
rnacentral:rRNA from 1 species